GUAGUGCGCCUCAGACAAGGCAGAUGAGAGCACAGCGUAGCUGGUCAUAGAGAAGCAGAAAGGAGAAAUAUUUUUGAAAGAAGCAGAAAAGAAAAAAACUCAAUUAAAAGUGCUGAAGCUUCCUGGACUCAUGAAACACAGGCUCCUGUUUUCCGGCAUCAAAGCUACAGGUUUCUAGAAAAUGAAAUUUUAAGUGCUGUUGGAGGACAUUUCUGAAGCAUCUGAUUUAAGCUCUACCUUACUUCAUUCCACCCCUAGGCUUUAGGAAAAUAUAAUUGAAAUCCUGUAGCCACCUGUACAAAUCCGUUCUUCUAGAACAUACUGACAGAUGCUAGAUGAUGUUAAAUCAUGGUACCCUUUUUUGGAAAAAUAUAAUGAUAUUGUUCAAAGUAAAAAUGAAUAUAAUAAAUAAUAUAUAUGGGGAAUGCUCGUAUGGAUUAUUACCGUUCAGGCUGUUAGUCACAAUACAAUGCAUGGCUACGUUUGCGUUGGGAAUUGGUAAGGCUCUUUUCUUGAAGCGGUUGAUCUCAAGCAAGAGUUCUGCCUUAGUUCAGUAAAACUCAUUAGCUGUAAACCAAAAUAUGUUCUGUACAGGCUUAGAUCUACUUUAACUAAGGAAAUAGGCUUUCUCACCCCUGUAGGUGAAAGUGAAAAAACACUUUAAAUUAGAUUUAAACCUAGCUUUUUGAACUUCUGUGAGGCAGAAUGGUUUUUAUGAAAGACCUAUAUUGGGCAUCGAGUACACGGAUGGAUUCUAACCAGCUGUCACCCUUGCUAUCAAAUCUCGAUAUUUUAUCAUAACUUUCAACACCUUUCAAGACAGCCCCAAAGCCACCAUCAGAUCUAUCAACAGGAUCCAGCACUGUUUCCCACAUUUUGUCCAGCAUCUGUGCCCCUUCUUUCUAAAUAUCUCGCUAAUAAUUUAAGCUUUAUUUUAUCUACACCGAACUCAUGUUUCUAAGGCUCUCUCCCGCUCAGCAGUGCUACAAAUUUAGUAAGGUAAUGACUCAUACCUUCACCUUUGUCACAGUCCUUGUCCUCUCACCUUCUUGAACUUUCAGGGCACUUCUAAUGGGUUGUGUAUGAACCACCAGAAAACUGCAUUCGACCAACAGCAACUAGAAAACAAAAUAUAAUUAUGGCUAUGCACUGAUCUUUAUUGUCUCCUGCACUCUGAGAUCAAAAUAACCUGUGUACUGAAUAUCAUUCUGUUACACACUGAAUGAUGUUUUGGAGCACGGUGUUACCAUAUAAGUAUCAUAAAUCACAUAUCACUGUCUGGGGUCAUGCCCAGAUAUUCCCAGGAGACCCUUGUUCUUGUGAGCCAAUGUAGCAUGUAAUGUUGGCCGCUCUGAAACUAAAAGUAAUCAGGCAAGAAAUCUCCUGAAUAAAUGUAAGUGUGGUAGCACAUUAUUCUGCUGAGCAGAAGGUAAUACAGGUCCAGUAGUGUCCUUAAACUAUAUUCCUUCCUAAAUGUCAUCACGCAGCUAUGCACCAGUCUUCACUGUAAGAAGGACUCUGAAAUUUUACUUUAAUUAUUUAAUGCUCUCAUUGCCUUAUCCUGAGGUAAAAGCAAAGUGAAACAGGUAUCUAAUUUUUUGGCAUAGUCAACUCACCAAGAAGUGAAGUCACAAGAGAAUUCAUGCCUUUUACUGACUUAAUAUGCGUUCUAUAGUAUAUCUCAACAGUGAAGGGUGAUUAUUAUAUUUUUUUCAUGAGUAUGAAAGUUUCAUAACUCAUAGGCAUCACAAGUGCCUUCAGAGUUUGAGAGUUAUUAAGGUCAGUCAUGAGAAAAAAAUAUAAUCACUUUUUACUGGUGAAAUAUUAAAUUUACUUUAUGAGAAAUAUUUUUUAUUGAUUACCAUUCCAAGAAUAGCAGGCAGCUAAUAAAGCACUCAGGAGCUUUUUGUCCAUCCUUCCAUCUUCCCAUGUUGAAAGUAAAAGAAUUGCUUGAGGGUGUUUAUAAAUUAGAUAGAAAAGCUUAGAAGUUGUUUAAGAGAAUACAGUUUUAUUUAAAUGCCUAAAAUAUUUUACUUCUCAUAUGUUAAAACAAAUUUGCCUUUCUUUCUUUCUUCUCUGAAUCAGACAUAAAGUGUUUUCUCACAGGUUCUAACCAUUAGAAAUCUUUAGCUGUAAUAAGCAUUUGGCUUCAUAAUAUAUUUAGAACUUUCACCCCUAACAAAAUUAUUGCAGACCAGGGCUGAUUCUAAUAAAACUAUCUAAAAUACAGUGGGCUUCAG